GAAAUAAGAUUUUAAAUGAGUGCUAAGAGAAUGAUUAAACAAUUAAAAGCUUUCUUUAAUUAAAAAAUUAAAUUUAAUUUUUUAGUGCAAAAGCAAAAAUAAAAUUUAGGGACAAGAAGACCCUAUGAAUUUUUAUUGUUAAUAAUUAAAAUUUAAGUUAUUAAUAAUUUAAUUGGGGCGAUAAAAAAAGAAUAAGUAUCUUUUUAGUUAUAAAAUAAGUUCCGUUUAUAGCGAUUAAAUGAAAUAAAUACUCUAGGGAUAACAGCGUAAUAAUUUUGGAUAGUUCAUAUAGAUAAAAUAGUUUGCGACCUCGAUGUUGGAUUAGGAUUCUU
rnacentral:rRNA from 1 species